GGAGGGGAGCCUCAUUAUGCAAGUCGAGCGAAUGGAUUGAGAGCUUGCUCUCAAGAAGUUAGCGGCGGACGGGUGAGUAACACGUGGGUAACCUGCCCAUAAGACUGGGAUAACUCCGGGAAACCGGGGCUAAUACCGGAUAACAUUUUGAACUGCAUAGUUCGAAAUUGAAAGGCGGCUUCGGCUUGUCACUUAUGGAUGGACCCGCGUCGCAUUAGCUAGUUGGUGAGGUAACCGGCUCACCAAGGCAACGAUGCCGUAGCCGACCUGAGAGGGUGAUCGGCCACACUGGGACUGAGACACGGCCCAGACUCCUACGGGAGGCAGCAGUAGGGAAUCUUCCGCAAUGGACGAAAGUCUGACGGAGCAACGCCGCGUGAGUGAUGAAGGCUUUCGGGUCGUAAAACUCUGUUGUUAGGGAAGAACAAGUGCUAGUUGAAUAAGCUGGCACCUUGACGGUACCUAACCAGAAAGCCACGGCUAACUACGUGCCAGCAGCCGCGGUAAUACGUAGGUGGCAAGCGUUAUCCGGAAUUAUUGGGCGUAAAGCGCGCCCAGGUGGUUUCUUAAGUCUGAUGUGAAAGCCCACGGCUCAACCCGUGGAGGGUCAUUGGAACUGGGAGACUUUGAGUGCAGAAGA
rnacentral:rRNA from 1 species